UACUCUGUUCUCAAUUGCAUUUCACAAUAUUUAAUUGAUAAAUUGCAUUUUCAUGGGGUGCUGGCAUUGUGCCAGCGUCAAACCAUGACACAUAUAAAAGUUUUAUCUUUCCACUGAAAUUUCCUAUCCACUACCUGCAGUACCCAAAUAGUCCCAAUAAUUGCCUUACUUGCCUUUUAGUCCUCGGGGCUGGGAUUGAGAGAAUCUCCUUCUCCUGUCUCACUGCCUCCUCCUCUCGUCCUGCACCUUAAAGGCUUUUUGCACAUUCUGUCCCCUAGGGACGGCUCUCUUAAUGCCCUGUAUGAUUAUGUUCCGCAGGUCGUCCAUAUGGGUCCUAUGCUGCGGGUCUUGGUUAUUCCAUUGGGGAUUUUGCAGGGGCCUUUUAGUGUCUGCUAAUGGUCCCUGUUGAUGUUUAUUAUCCUAGGUUCUCAUCCCCAUUUCCCUUAUAAUUCUCCUUUUCUCUUUAAAAUCCCCCAAACUCCGGGUCAAAUCCCCCCAGAUUUGGGUCAGAACUUCCUAAUUCUGGGUCCAUACCCCCCAGAUUUGGGUCACAACUCCCCAGAUUUGGGUCAGAAUCCCCCAGAUUUGUGUCAAAACCUCUAAAUUUCAGCUCCAAGUCUUUAAAUUCUGCCUCCAAACCCCCAAAUUUGGGUCAGAACCUCCCAGAUUCGGCUCAGAAGCUCCUGGUUUGGGGUCAGAACCCCCUAAAAUCUCCUUAAAACUCCCCGAAUUUGGGUCAGAACAUCCUGGAUUUGGGACAGAACCCUCCAAACUCGGCUCGAAAUCUCCAAAACCUCUUUAAAAUCCCCCAAAUUUGGGUCCAAACCUCCCAAAUUUGGGUCCAAACUUUUCCAAAACCUCCUUAAAAUAGUGGAUCAUUUUUGCUUUAUCUUUUCCCUUUCCCCUACUGGGAAAGGCAUGCCAAUUAUUUAUCAUUACUCCUAGAGGACUAUCCUCAGGAAUCUGGGGAAGCUUUGCAGGGGUUCCCCCACCCAUGGGACCAGAGGGCUUGCUUUUCCUCUGUCCCAUCUUCCGGAGUGCACUCAAUUUUUCACACACGCGCUCCCCUGGUUCAUGGCCCAAGCCCUCUCGGGUAUUGGGAACCGCACUACUGAGGGUCCGCACUCACUUGGUCUCUAUGAGACCUCUCACACACAACACUCCGGGAAAACCACCCCAAACCGAGCGGGAAACCAGCCUAUACUCACGCAUCCUGCGUCUUCGCUCGGAUCUUUGUGCACAAAGUUUACAGGGGUAACCAGUUCUCCUUUUAACUGGCUCUCCUUUGCCCGCAGCUUAAUUUAGGUUCGUCAGUAGAGAGACCAGGAUGUCUGGGACAAUCGGGCCGCCAAAAAAAAGGCGGGGCGCCUCCCGAGGGUCCCAGAACAACCAGGCUAUUUUGCUCUCCGAGUCACGGCACCACAUAUUGUUAUAAAUUAUGACACGGGACCAAUUUGUGUCACUUUAUAAAGAGAAUUUUAUUAAUUUAGCAAGCAAGCAGUACGGGCAAAUGCAGCGCUCGGCGGCCGGGGAGCCUCUGCUCCCACCAACGGCUCGCACCGCACCUCCCGGUCUUUCAGUUCUUAUACCACUUCAGUUCCGGACUUUGUGAUAUUCUCGACGUGCUCUGCAUCUGCGCGGCGUGUUGCUAGGGGUCUUUUUUCUGCUGUCCGGUGGUCGUUUGAGGAAAGCUCCUAUUCUUCUUCCUCCGAGGUAGCGUUAACCCUGCAAUAACUUCUCCAAAUAUGGUAACGCAGCUUUCAAAGAUCUCUCAAUUCCACUAUCUACUAAUAGCGGUACAUCCUGCCCUCCUGCCCCACUGUUUCCUGUGACUUACACAGUCCCUGGGACUUUUCCUGAUGAACAAAAACUAUGCUAUUGUCUUUCACACUGGGGCUUUUCCCGGUGAACAAAAACUAUGCUAUUGUCUUUCACAUAGCUGCUUUGCAAAUCUUUUUUAUUUCUGCAAAUCUUAUCUUUUCCCACUCUGGUCCCCCUGCACUUCCAACAUUAUAUCUGACUGGAAAGACAGAGAGCUUAGAAGUAAUUUCCCAUUCUCCGUGUUGUACUGCGUCCCUUCUGAUCCUCUGCCAGGUGUCUGUGCCUCCUGAUGUACAAAACUCGUCCUCAGAUUCUGGUGGGCAACCUUGGGGGGUGUGGGAAUAUCUCUUUUGCAUCGGAGUUUCUCCCGAUAUGGGCGCCGCCAUUUUGGAUGGGGUGACUUCUGGGAGCUCACCUCCGGUUCCCAUGGUUGUCAUGUUGAAGCCCUGCUGUCCUGGGGUGCGGGCAGGGAGUUUGGGCAGGGAGGUGGCCUGAGCUCGGCCCACAAAAGGGGAGUGUCCUGUGUCUGAUGGGCAGGAGCUCAGUGACAAAUCGGAAAGGGAAUCCUGAGACUCUGAGGAUGGGACACGCCCACAAAGGGCGGAGCGCGACACCUCUGAAACAUGGCGCCGGCCAUGUGUGCCUUUGUUUUCACAGAGCAUGGAUUCAGCUCGGCUUUUUUCCUUUACAGUACCAAAAUUCACCGAUUUUGCGCCUCUGAGGUUACUUUUCAGAGGAAACCGAGGGGAGUUUUUCAGUUCCAGGAAGAAACUCAGAAUAUACCAAAUAAGGAGAGGUCGUGAAAAGGACAAAGAGGAAGACUGCUAGCCUUCAUCCCAGCGACCACCAGGAGGCAGAAUAAGACCCCCUAGCAACAGACUGGAGUCCGCGCAGAGCGACCUAAGAAAGCCACGUCAACAAGAAAGGGGACUGUAUAAAAAGAACUGGAACAAGAGAUCAGUUGCGUGCCGUUGGUGGAGCGAAGACUCCCCAGCUGCCCAGCGCUGCAUUUACACACAUUGCUUGCUUGCUAAAUUAAUAAAAUCUCUUCAAUUGGAAUAUGACACAAAUUGGUCCCGUGUCAUAAUUUAUAACACUGAAUGUUGGCCGUAACUUUAAGGUGGACUUCUUCUUUUCCAUACUGUAUAAUCUAAGUGCCAGAGUAUCCCAGAACUUUAGGGUAAGAGUCUCAGACGUAUUUAGAGUUGGAAAUUCUGUGAAAACCCAUCUAAUGAGUUUUUUAAGCUGUUUCUUCUCAAAUUUUACAUCUUGAAUUUCUAAUUUGUAGU